UAGGGAAUCUUCGGCAAUGGACGAAAGUCUGACCGAGCAACGCCGCGUGAGUGAAGAAGGUUUUCGGAUCGUAAAACUCUGUUGGUAGAGAAGAACGUUGGUGAGAGUGGAAAGCUCAUCAAGUGACGGUAACUACCCAGAAAGGGACGGCUAACUACGUGCCAGCAGCCGCGGUAAUACGUAGGUCCCGAGCGUUGUCCGGAUUUAUUGGGCGUAAAGCGAGCGCAAGUGGUUUAUUAAGUCUGGUGUAAAAGGCAGUGGCUCAACCAUUGUAUGCAUUGGAAACUGGUAGACUUGAGUGCAGGAGAGGAGAGUGGAAUUCCAUGUGUAGCGGUGAAAUGCGUAGAUAUAUGGAGGAACACCGGUGGCGAAAGCGGCUCUCUGGCCUGUAACUGACACUGAGGCUCGAAAGCGUGGGGAGCAAACAGGAUUAGAUAGCCCUGGUAGUCCACGCCG
rnacentral:rRNA from 1 species